UAAUGAGGGGAACUCAGGGAACUGAAACAUCUAAGUACCUGAAGGAAGAGAAAGAAAUUCGAUUCCGUAAGUAGCGGCGAGCGAACGCGGAUUAGCCCAAACCAAUAAAGUUUUCUUUGUUGGGGUUGCGGACAUAUCAUAACGAAGAGGUAUCGUAAUUGAAGAGGUUUGGAAAGACCCACCACAGAAGGUAAUAGUCCUGUAUGUUAAACGAGAAGACUUCAGAUAUGAUCCAGAGUACCACGG
rnacentral:rRNA from 1 species